rnacentral:rRNA from 1 species
GCACGGGUAGAGGACCAGCUAGCUAGAUGAUGGUCGGGUACCCGCGUGCGUGGAGCGACAUGAGGUUGAUUCCCAUUCUGAGCCUGCCGGCGCCGAAACCUCCCACCACGCCGGUUGGCGAGAGAUAGCGCCCGGUCUAGACCCCACCACCGCGGGUCCUACCGCGCGCGGCCCCUGAACCCGACGACCUAGGCCACUCCGUAGCGGACGUGCGCUCCUCGGCGAGACGGAGAGCGCCCUCCGAGGCAGGCCGCAGCGGCCUUCGACGACAAGCUAGACGAAGGUGACUAGACGAGAGUGACUGUCGUCCCGCAGGUUGGUAGGAGAACCACCUAGACCAACCCGACGUUUAGUAACGUCUAAGUCUAGACCGGUAUAGGAAGUUGCAACUACCAAAAAAAGCAGUCCACAAGAGAUGACACCAGGAACAUCGUUUAAGAACGGUUAGCCACGACGGGUCAGUCACAACUAGGAUUUCAAACCUAAAAAUAAAGUAAGCAAGAAGGUAGAGUAAUCAACCGCAAACCAUAAAAAUCAAUAAACACCAAUACUAGGUUAUUCUCAGUCGUGAUCAAUAAACCUAAACGUAAGUGGACCAUAGGACGAGGAAAGAACUACUGUUGGUCCCUACCUACCGUCUAGUAGUUGUCGGAUCAGAUGUAGACGCAACCUCCACUUACAUAUGGAGAUAUCCCUCUCGUACUUAGGAGAAACUUUUGUUCGGACAUGUCGUUCUUCUCGAACGGGUCGAGAGAGCAACUACUUUAGUGUAUAUCUAGAUCAGUUACGACGUGCUCGGUGGUCUAAGAUUACGUCCCUUUAGUGUCGUCUUCUUCGAGUUUCUACGGUUAAUCUUCUUUCUAGCCCGUGGCUACACGUGGACUCUAACAUCAUUAUAUAUGAGAUUCAUCAUCGUCGUCAGUUCGUAAAUCAUUGUACAUUUUCAUAGCGGCGUAGGGGUAUAUCAGAGUACGCGAUGAUCAAAUAGAUGUCUUGUCUUCUCUGCUUGAAAACUGCUGUC